UACGGGGGGGGUAAGCGUUGUUCGGAAUUACUGGGCGUAAAGGGCUCGUAGGCGGCCAACUAAGUCGGACGUGAAAUCCCUCAGCUUAACUGGGGAACUGCGUCCGAUACUGGAUGGCUUGGAUUUGGGAGAGGGAUGCGGAAUUCCAGGUGUAGCGGUGAAAUGCGUAGAUAUCUGGAGGAACACCGGUGGCGAAGGCGGAUCUCUGGGCCUUACCUGACGCUCAGGCACGAAAGCUAGGGGAGCGAACAGG
rnacentral:rRNA from 1 species